AAGAUUAAAAAAAUGGGGAAGUAUGAAUGAAAUAAAUAGAAAAAAAAAGAAAAAGAUAUAUACUACAAUAAUCAGAUAAUAGAGAGAGAAGGAAGCAGACAUUUGUCUUCCACCAUAUUCUUCUCAUCUUUUCCGAUGAUAGAUUCUUCUUCUUCUUCUACUUCUGCUGCUCCUCUUUGUUUAGUUUCCUUCUCCCAUUAGAUAAUCCACUCAACUCAACUCUCUCCUCUACUCUAGCUUCCUCUGUCCACUUUCUCGCCGCUUUAUUCGUUCUCUCUCUCUCUCUCUCUCUCUCUUUCACUUGUUCUUUUCUCUCAUCAUUUCAUCAUAUCCUUCCUCAUCAUCAUCACACUUGAGAGAUUUCUGUAGUAUUUUGGAAACCCAAACUCGAGCCAAUUAUAUACUAGGACGAGAGGAGAGCUUGUUUAAUUUUUUGUUUCCUGUUUUGGAUUUCGAGGAAUCUAGCUUUCCAACUUUAAGUUCCUGUUCAAAGUUUCUACCUUUUAUUUUUUUUUAUUUUUUAUUUUCUUUUGUUUUCUUCCUCUUAUCUUUCGUCAUCUUUGAUUAAGUAACCUCUUUGAUCUCUCAAUUCGAACCCCUUUGGGUUGUCUAAUCUGACACGUUCCUCUGUCUUUCUUUCUUUCUUUUUUUUUCUCUCUGCUUGUUUCUGGGAAGGCUACAAAGGGAUUUUUUAGAAAUAAUUCUUGCUUUUGGAUUUGAGUGAUUCUCUGAUUCGUCCCCUUUUGUACAGGAUUUGUUGUUUGGUUCUUCUGGGGGUUUGUGCUUCUGUGGGAGCCUCUCUCUGUCUGUUGAAUUGAGCUGGUUUUCUAAUCACUCUCUGUUUCUUUGGGGCUGAUCCUGUUUUCAACUGGUGGAUGAGUUUGUUCCAUGUCCUAGGGUUUGCUCUGAAGAUUGGGCAUCUCUUCUGGAUGCUAUGCUGCUGGUUCGUUUCUUGGUUCGUUGAUAAUGGGAUCGAGGACAAGUCUGGUCUUCUAGUUGGCUCUGUCGGUGAUCUCGAGAAGACGAAGAUGACUACCAUGAAGAAGAAGAACAAGAUGUGCUUCUGGAAUAGGAUCUCCAUCAGCGGACUUAAGAUCCCAAGUUUCUCUUAUCAGUUCCUUGGCUCAGUUAAAUUCAACAAGGCUUGGUGGAGGAAGCUUGUGGUGGCUUGGGUCGUCCUCUGGGUCUUGGUCUCCAUUUGGACCUUCUGGUACUUUAGCUCUCAAGCUAUGGAGAAGAGGAAAGAGACGCUAACUAGUAUGUGUGAUGAGAGGGCUCGUAUGCUACAGGAUCAGUUCAACGUUAGCAUGAAUCAUGUUCAAGCCAUGUCUAUCUUGAUUUCCACCUUUCACCAUGGCAAGAUUCCUUCUGCUAUCGAUCAGAGAACAUUCUCAGAGUACACUGAUAGAACUUCCUUUGAGAGGCCUCUCACAAGCGGGGUUGCAUAUGCUAUGAGGGUGCUCCAUUCAGAGAGGGAAGAAUUUGAGAGGCAACAAGGUUGGAGUAUUAGGAGGAUGGAUUCUCUUGAACAAAACCCAGUUCAUAAGGAUGAGUAUGACCCGGAAGCUUUGGAACCAUCCCCUGUUCAAGAGGAGUAUGCUCCAGUCAUCUUUGCUCAGGACACUGUUUCUCAUGUAGUUUCUCUCGAUAUGCUAUCUGGCAAAGAAGACCGAGAAAAUGUGUUACGGGCCAGGAGAUCAGGUAAAGGGGUUUUGACAGCUCCUUUUCCAUUGCUAAAGACAAAUAGACUUGGGGUGAUCCUGACAUUUGCAGUCUACAAAAGAGAUCUCCCUUCAAAUGCAACGCCAAAAGAGAGAAUUGAGGCUACUAAUGGGUAUCUUGGUGGAGUGUUUGACAUUGAGUCCCUGGUGGAAAACUUGCUUCAGCAGCUGGCUAGCAAGCAAACAAUUCUUGUCAAUGUAUACGAUACCACAAAUCACUCCCAACCGAUUAGCAUGUAUGGUUCAGAUGUGUCUGCUGAUGGGUUGGAACGUGUUAGUCUACUAAACUUUGGCGAUCCAUUUAGAAAGCAUGAAAUGCGUUGCAGGUUUAAGCAGAAACCACCAUGGCCAGUGCUAUCAAUGGUGACAUCAUUUGGUAUCCUUGUAAUUGCGUUGCUUGUUGCACAUAUAAUCCAUGCAACUGUGAGUCGGAUAACCAAAGUUGAAGAAGAUUGUCAUAAAAUGGAGCAGCUCAAGAAAAAGGCUGAAGCAGCAGAUGUUGCAAAGUCACAGUUCCUUGCUACUGUUUCACAUGAAAUCAGAACUCCAAUGAAUGGUGUUCUUGGAAUGUUGCAUAUGCUUAUGGACACAGAAUUAGAUGUUACGCAACAGGAUUAUGUUAGGACUGCACAGGCAAGUGGAAAAGCUUUAGUCUCGCUAAUAAACGAGGUUUUGGACCAGGCUAAGAUUGAAUCUGGAAAACUUGAGCUUGAGGACGUGCGGUUUGAUUUGAGAGGAAUAUUAGAUGAUGUCCUGUCACUCUUCUCUGGGAAGUCCCAACAAAAAGGGGUAGAGUUGGCAGUAUACAUAUCUGAUCGUGUUCCAGAGAUGUUAAUUGGUGAUCCUGGGAGGUUUAGACAAAUACUCACAAAUCUUAUGGGUAAUUCCAUUAAGUUCACUGAGAAAGGACACAUCUUUGUAACUGUUCAUUUGGUGGAGGAGCUAUUUGAAUCUAUUGAUGGAGAGACAGCAUCAUCUCCAGAAAGUACACUGAGCGGGCUUCCAGUUGCAGACCGGAAGAGGAGCUGGGAAAACUUCAAAGCUUUCAGCUCCAGUGGGCAUCGGAGCUUUGAACAAUCUCCACCUGAUAUCAACCUAAUCGUUGCAGUUGAAGAUACUGGCAUAGGGAUCCCAUUAGAAGCGCAGUCCCGUAUUUUUACGCCUUUCAUGCAAGUCGGACCAUCCAUAUCCAGGACGCAUGGAGGCACAGGAAUUGGACUUAGCAUAAGCAAAUGUCUAGUUGGACUGAUGAAGGGAGAAAUUGGAUUCUCGAGUACUCCCAAGGUCGGGUCCACAUUCACAUUUACCGCUGUGUUUUCCAAUGGCAUGCAGCAAACUGAAAGGAAGAACGACCCGCAGAACAACAACCAGCCUAUAUUCUCGGAAUUUCGAGGCAUGAAAGCUGUGGUUGUGGACCAUCGGCCUGCAAGGGCAAAAGUUUCGUGGUACCAUUUUCAGCGCCUGGGAAUUCGAGUCGAAGUAGUUCCACGUGUUGAACAGGCUCUACAUUAUAUGAAGAUUGGUACUUGCACUGUGAAUAUGAUUCUUAUAGAGCAAGAAAUAUGGAAUAGGGAAGCAGAUGUGUUCAUUAAGAAGCUACAGAAAGAGCCUCUUGUCCUUUCUCCUAAAUUGAUUUUGCUAGCAAACUCAGUAGAAUCGUCAAUACCAGAUGCUUAUUGCACCGGUAGAGAUCCUCCAAUAGUGAUAGUGAAACCAUUGAGGGCGAGUAUGCUAGCAGCAACUCUGCAAAGGGGAUUGGGUAUUGGAAACAGGGAACCACCUCAACAGAAGGGACCUCCUGCUUUGAUACUCAGAAAUCUUCUACUUGGUAGAAAAAUUCUAAUCGUGGAUGAUAACAACGUAAAUCUCAGAGUGGCAGCAGGAGCUCUGAAAAAGUAUGGCGCUGAUGUGGUCUGCGCUGAGAGCGGGAUAAAGGCAAUCUCAUUGCUGAAGCCACCCCACGAGUUUGAUGCUUGCUUCAUGGACAUUCAGAUGCCAGAAAUGGAUGGAUUUGAGGCUACAAAGAGAAUACGGGAUAUGGAAGAGGAGAUAAACAAGAGAAUAAAGAAUGGGGAGGCUGUGAUAGUAGAGAACGGUAACAAAGCAAGCUGGCAUCUCCCGGUAUUAGCAAUGACCGCAGACGUGAUACAAGCAACGCAUGAGGAAUGUCUAAAGUGUGGAAUGGAUGGGUAUGUAUCAAAACCCUUUGAAGCAGAGCAGCUGUACCGUGAAGUUUCUCGCUUUUUCGAUUCGUCUUCAGAUACAGAAUCAUAAACAAUAGAAAAGAAAAGGGAUGAGCUGGAGGAAGAAAAGGCGAAGGAAACACAAAAACUCGUGACUCCUUAGCAUCUUGAAGUAGUAGGAAAAAUGAAAAACAGAUUGACGGUUGCAAAAAGAGUGUAUAUAGAAAGGCCGGUGUGACCAUAUUGUGGCCAUGGCCAAGAAGUUUAGACCAGUUUCACCUGUAAAGUUAUUUUUUAUUUUAUUUGCUCUUCUCUGAUCGGGAGACAAAAAAAAAAAAAAAAAAGAAAAGAACAUGUGGUUUGUAGAUGAGUAGCACCUAGCUGGAAUGGUAUCUAUUAAGAGUUGGGUUGGACAGGGAAGAGAGCCGUAGUACGUGUGUAAAAGUGUUGUGUGUGUGUGAUUUAGGAUUCUUGUAAUAGAAAAAGUUGCAUCGUUUUAUCAUCAUCGUCCAAGGUAGGGAGUGGACAUUACUUAUACAUCAUAUACAUACACUGGCUGCUUUGUGGUAUAAAGUUGAAGAUAGCUCUUACACUAGAA